rnacentral:rRNA from 1 species
UACAGAGGUCUCAAGCGUUGUUCGGAUUCAUUGGGCGUAAAGGGUGUGUAGGUGGCGCGCUAAGUCGGGUGUGAAAUUUCGGAGCUUAACUCCGAAACUGCAUUCGAUACUGGCGUGCUUGAGGACUGGAGAGGAGACUGGAAUUCAUGGUGUAGCAGUGAAAUGCGCAGAUAUCAGGAGGAACACCGGUGGCGAAGGCGGCGACCUGGACAAGUACUGACACUCAACUACGAAAGCGUGGGGAGCAAACAGG